AUGGAAUAUUACCAAGCACCCUCCACUAUUUCGGAUAGUAUUUAUGGUUCUACCUUUUUAUUAGCAACUGGCUUUCAUGGUUUUCAUGUGAUUAUAGGUACUCUUUUCUUGAUCGUAUGUGGUAUUUGCCAAUAUCUUGGUUAUCUGACCAAGAAGCAUCACGUUGGCUUUGAAGCAGCUGCAUGGUGCCUGGUGCUUGCCCCUCCUGUAGUGUUUUCAGUGCCUAAAAUCCUCAAAUAUUCCAGAAAAAACCAUACUAAAUUUGCAGGGCAUUUGGAGCACUUUUAUUUUCGGACUAUUUUUUAA
rnacentral:rRNA from 1 species